rnacentral:tRNA from 1 species
UCCUCCUUAGCUCAGUCGGUAGAGCGCAUGACUGUUAAUCAUGAUGUCGUUGGUUCGAGCCCAACAGGGGGAGCCA